rfam:Nomascus leucogenys chromosome 22a, whole genome shotgun sequence.
GGUACUGGUAGAGAGGUCUUCCAUGAUGCAUUCAAUUUAUUUUUUGACCAAUCCUACAUAGUGGACCCUUUUGAAAGCAUU